UUGUGGGACUUAAUAUUUCAAUGUGCAGAGGUGAAAUUCUUGGAUUUAUGAAAGAUUAACUUCUGCGAAAGCAUCUGCCAAGGAUGUUUUCAUUAAUCAAGAACGAAAGUUAGGGGAUCGAAGACGAUCAGAUACCGUCGUAGUCUUAACCAUUAACGAUGCCGACCAGCGAUUAGGAGACGUUGAUUACAAACACCACCAUCGGCGCGGUCGUCCUUGGCGCGUUCGUGUUCACCCGGGCGCGCGAGGGCGGCUUACCCGGUGCCCCGGUGAAUGACUC
rnacentral:rRNA from 1 species